ensembl:lncRNA
CAAAAGUCUUAUGCACUCAGAAGUGGGUUUUUGGAAGGCCACCUGGUAGUGAAUAGAUUUCCUCCACCGUGCCUUCCACCAUGGUGCUUUUCCCAUGGAGCCAGCUGACUGGACUAAACCGUGAGCCAAAAUAAAUCUCUCCUCCUUUAAGUAGUGGGAAUUUUGUUCUAGCAACAGGAAAAUUGACUAAUACACCUAGCAAGAAGAGAAGACAGUUGAGAUAAGCCCGAAAAUGAUGGCUGUAAUUCUGUUGGCUGGGCCAAACAACCAACCAGUUAUGCAUCUAUCAGCCAAAGUGUUUAAACAGUUAAUGUGUGGGCAUAGCGAGUCAACAAAAGGAGAUUCAACUUUUGUUGAAAAGGAACCAGUGACAGCCUAGAGCGCAGCCUUGGUUCAGCUUCUGACAUUCAGGUUGGCAGAGGGCCUGGCUCCAGCUGUCCCUGUGCCCUGUUUGCAAGGAUGUAUAGAAGGUCACUCACAGCCAGCCCCUUUCCCUGUUCUGAUAACAUCGGAGGGAGCUCCCCAGCUGAAAGGCAAUCUCCAGCAAAUCUCAGGCUGGCCAUCAGGCAAGAUCGGAGGACAAAGAGCGAUUGUUGAUGGAGUGCUCCGAUCCUGCAGAAAGGUCAAUCCCAAGCCUUCCUUUCUCCUCUCACCCUCCUGUACCUGAUGCCUCACAAAGUGACCAGCCUGUCAGACAGCCAAGUGUCACUGGCCCCGUUUAACAGAUGAAGAAACGGAAGCUGAGAGCCCCGCUUAAGGUCACACCUCGAGGAAACGUCACACACCACACAAACGCCAAGGCUGCACAAUCUUCACUUCUCCACAUCACUCAUGUGUAGACAAACUAUAUUUUUAGCAUUAAAAAAAAAAAAAAACCCUCCAGCCCCUCUUUCAAGCCCUGAUGAUAGCUUUCCCCUUCUUGACAUCAAGUAUGUUACACCACAGUAAAUAAAGGGACUCAGGAAA